rnacentral:misc_RNA from 1 species
GCUAAUGAGUCUGUUGACCGAAAGACCGAGGAAUAAGAAGGACAUGGAUGAAAAAGAAGUCGCAACCAUUGGUCGAGAGGACUUGGAGUGAGACAGACCGAACCUUGACCGAUUCUUCCGCAGUGCCCAGCUUGUAAUUCGUUCAAACUGGCAGAAUUCAGCUAACAUCAUGACAACCUAGCAAGAGGCGUUGCUCUUGGGCU